AUGCCAGAGUGGGGCGCAGUGCAGGGACACACACCAGCAAUCCUCCACGACGUGCCGAGCUGCGAUUUCUCCUCCUGCCACCUGUGUAGCUUUGGACGGCGAGCUGGGGACGUUUCUGUGUAUAGGAGAGAGGCAGAGAGCGUGACGUGUCGGGAUAACCUUAUCUCUUUGGCCAUUUUACAUUUUAGCACUUAUAGUUUCCCUUAUUCAUUGCAUGUAUGGCCAACUAACGUUAGUUUUCAGUCACACUUCCAAAUAUCUAUUUCCUUGUGCUCUAAUCGGUGUCUAAAUAUUCUUACGUGUAUGGUUUGA
rnacentral:rRNA from 1 species